rnacentral:rRNA from 1 species
UACGUAGGGGGCAAGCGUUGUCCGGAUUUAUUGGGCGUAAAGAGCGUGUAGGCGGCCAGGUAGGUCUGCUGUGAAAACUCGAGGCUCAACCUCGAGAUGUCGGCGGAAACCAUCUGGCUAGAGUCCGGAAGAGGAGAAUGGAAUUCCUGGUGUAGCGGUGAAAUGCGCAGAUAUCAGGAAGAACACCCGUGGCGAAAGCGGCUCUCUGGAACGGUACUGACGCUGAGACGCGAAAGCGUGGGGAGCGAACAGG